CGAAACAGGGGCAGCGUCAAACGAAGAGCAUCACCUUUUGUGAAACUGUCCUACAGACUGGGCAACUGUGAAUUUUUCAUCAAUACCGAUUUCUCUAAUGAACUGCAAGAUGAUCUAACUCCAACAUGCAGAAUUCAACAUUUCCAUUCGCUGUUUGUUAAGGGUGCACGUGAAUAUGAAAAGGCAAAUUCAAAAGGUGGCAUGUUUGUGCCCCCAUCGACUUGCCUGGCCUGUUUCAGACUCAGGACUGGCACAGCAUUGGAAAGUUUAUGGUUUCACAAACCCUGAGGCAUAAUUUGCAAAUAAAUGAUGAAGACACUAAAAAUACUGCAUGCAAAUACCAUGGUCUUGAACAAAGACAGGACUUUGGAAUGGUAAGAGGAGUGGAAAAGCACUGAUGGAACGAACACCUGCUCUUGAGUUUGAAAGCAGCUGGGUAAGUGACUGGCAGACUCGGGAGACCCACUGGUGCCGGGAACACGGCAUGGCACUUUCCCCUGGUGUUGCAUCCUAGGCAGGUCAGGUGGUAGGUGGGCAAAUCAUUACAAACGAAACGUCUAGUGAGAAAAUAAUUUUCAUUGUCUUUCAGUCUUCCUGAAGCCUUUGAGGAGUCUGUUGCUAGGCUAG
rnacentral:lncRNA from 1 species